GAUGAACGCUGGCGGCGUGCCUAAUACAUGCAAGUCGAGCGAAGCGGGGACGGGUGAGUAACACGUGGAUAACCUCCUAUAAGACUGGGAUAACUUCGGGAAACCGGAGCUAAACCGGAUUCGUAUGGAAGGAUCGGUGCUGCAGUUGCUAGUUGGAAAGGUAACGGCUUACAAAGGCAACGAUGCAUAGCCGACCUGGGAGGGUGAUGGGCCACACUGGAACGGAGACACGGUCCAGACUCCUACGGGAGGCAGCAGUGGGGAAUCUUCCGCAAUGGGCGAAAGCCUGACGGAGCAACGCCGCGUGAAGUAUGAAGGUCUUCGGAUCGUAAAGCACUGUUAUUAGGGAAGCGGUACCUGAUCAGAAAGCCACGGCUAACUACGUGCCAGCAGCCGCGGUAAUAC
rnacentral:rRNA from 1 species